AAGUCGUAACAAGGUAACCGUAGGUGAACCUGCGGUUGGAUCAUUACCAAUGAUUGGGAACCAGUUGAGGUUGAUAGAUCUCCUGGUUGCUAAAAUCAAAUACCCAUCUUUGUGCACCCUUUUUAUGUCUCUGGUGGUCGCAAGAGAAGUCUCUAUUUGGAGGAUCUCUUCUAGUUCAUUUUGCUCCUCGGACAAAUGAAUGAAGCCACCAAAUGUUUUCUAUAACACACCCUUUUGUCAUCCAAAAUAUCUGUCUAACAUUGAUUUAUGUAAAAUACAUAAAACAACUUUUGGCAACGGAUCUCUUGGCUCUC
rnacentral:misc_RNA from 1 species